rnacentral:rRNA from 1 species
AUGAACGCUGGCGGCGUGCCUAAUACAUGCAAGUCGCGCGAACGGACGAGAAGCUUGCUUCUCUGAUGUUAGCGGCGGACGGGUGAGUAACACGUGGAUAACCUACCUAUAAGACUGGGAUAACUUCGGGAAACCGGAGCUAAUACCGGAUAAUAUUUUGAACCGCAUGGUUCAAAAGUGAAAGACGGUCUUGCUGUCACUUAUAGAUGGAUCCGCGCUGCAUUAGCUAGUUGGUAAGGUAACGGCUUACCAAGGCAACGAUGCAUAGCCGACCUGAGAGGGCGAUCGGCCACACUGGAACUGAGACACGGUCCAGACUCCUACGGGAGGCAGCAGUAGGGAAUCUUCCGCAAUGGGCGAAAGCCUGACGGAGCAACGCCGCGUGAGUGAUGAAGGUCUUCGGAUCGUAAAACUCUGUUAUUAGGGAAGAACAUAUGUGUAAGUAACUGUGCACAUCUUGACGGUACCUAAUCAGAAAGCCACGGCUAACUACGUG